rnacentral:lncRNA from 1 species
AAUUGCAUUUUAGGUUCCAUUCUACAAUGGUUAACAAAAUUUUUAAAAAAGAUCUCUGUUUUCAUGGAUUUUAGUAUCUAUUGAGAGAUAGAUAGUAAAUAACACAAACAAAUAUAUAAUUGCAAACAAUGUUGAGUGCUAUAAAGGAAAGAUUCACUAGAUGUGGUAGACUUUGGUGGCCUCAGUGAAUCAUGCCUUCUGGUAUUUUGCCCCUGAGUAAUCCCCUUCCAUGUUGACACUGGGUUUGGCCAACGAUUAACUUGCACCACUGGGACAUUACAAAUAUAGUGUAAGCAAAGUCUGAUGAACUUGUGUUGGUAGAAGAGCUGAGGCAGGACUGGCUUGUCUGUCAUAAUAUAAAAGAGUCUUGGAAGAUGUCCGGGGUCCAGGGUCUAAAACCCCUCGUGGCCUUUGGAACACCAAGCUCUGUGCCAAAGUGUGGAAAGCUGCCCUGCCACACCACAAAUCUAAGCCCAGGGCAUAAAACUCCUCGUGGCUUGGAUGGAAUCCAGGGCUCAGGGCAUAAAACCCCCCAUGGCCUCUGGAAUGUGCACAGACUUGGUCGCUCUCCCAGGCUCAUAAACAUGUUCUCCAUUAUCUCAAGCAGCAGAGCAUAUUCUAUAUGCGUCAAAGAAAAUGCUAAACCGUCAGAGCUACGCUUGAUGCACCACUACCUUUCUACCCCCACAUCCUCAUGCCCUCACCUGUUUAUCCCCACAUCCACAUGUCCUCACCACCUGCUUCUUUGUCUGAUCACCAAUAAAUAGUGUGGGAUCCCAGAGCUCGGGGCCUUCACAGCCUCCAUACCAGUGUUGGCCCUGUGGACCCACCUUAUGUACUCUUAACUUGUCUUUUCUCAUUCCUUUGACUCCUCCGGACUUCGUAGCCCCCACGGCCUGGUGUUGGGUCUGAUCACCCCAACAUUUCUGGCGCCCAACAUGGGGCUAUGAAGACCCCGGUGAAGGAAUGCUAGAGCAUGUGGAAGCAGAAGAUGCAUUGUCAGAGGACACCGAGGAUGACUGAAAGAAGCUCGGCGGAUCACCCUCUCUGGAAGGAAUCAACUGCCUUGUCAUGAGGAUACUCACACAGUCUUACGGAGAAGUCAAAGAACCGAGGUCUCCUGCCAACAGCUGGGUGAGUGAGCCAUCUUGGAUGAAAAUCCUCCAGCCCCAGUCAAGCCUUCAAAUGACUGCAGCCCUGGCUGAAAAAUUAAAUGCAACAUAUGAGAGACCCUAAGGCAGAAUCACCCAGAGACAGGAUCUCACCAUGUAACCCAUGCUGAUCUUCUUGAACUCCAAGGCUCAAGGGAUCCUCCAGACUUUGCCUCCCAAAGUGUUGGAAUUACAUGCAUGAGCCACCGCACUCAGCCCCUCAAGUAAUUUCCAAAAAUUAUGCAGUGCAAAGAGUUUUAUGUAUUAGGUAUACAUUUUUCAUAAUUUACACAGUAUUUUCACAUACAUUAUCUCAUUUGAUCCUAAAUGGACUUUGUUAAGCAGUUAUUAUCCACAUAUUCCAAAUAAGGAAACUGAAGCCCAGAGAAGAACUUGAAAAUCCUGUUCUUCAAGGUGGGAGAAUUGCUUGAGGCCAGUAGUUCAAGACCAGCCUGAGUAACAGAGGGAGUCUCCAUCUCUCCAAAUAAUAAUAAUAAUAAUAAAUGAUAUAGGCGUGGUGGCAUGUGCCUGUGAUCCCAGCUACUCAGGAGGCUGAGGCAGGACAAUCACCUGAGCCCAGGAAGUCAAGACAGCAGUAAGCCAUGACUGGGUCACUGUACUCCAGCCUAGAUGACAGAGCAAGACCUCCUCUCAAUCAAUCAAUCAAUCAAUCAGAACAAUAUGCAUUUGACAUCUAUGGCCCCUGCAUUUUCACGAGAGGAUUACUACCUUCUUUACAGAUGGCUUUAGAUUUGGAGGCUGGCUAAGCAUAAAAUUAAAAGACGUCAUGCUUGGAAUAGCCCUUUUAAGAAACACUUAACUCCUUUACUUAAUAGACAAGUGCACUGAACCACUCAUAAUUUUUUAAAUUAUUUUUAUUUUAAUAAUUAUUUUAUUUAUUAAGACACAAGGUCUCAAUCUAUAGCCCAAGCUGGAGUGCAGUCGCACCAUCCUAGCUCACUGCUGCCUCAAACUGCUUGGCUCAAGCUAUCCUCCCUCUUCAGCCUCCCAAGUAGCUGGGACCGCAGGCACAAGCCAUCGCAACCUGUGCUCUGAAGCUUUAAGAGGCCAAACGAUUCCUCACAUUCAUCCGAUCAGUUACAGGUAGAGCCAAGACCAGAAGCCAGGUAUCCUAUUUUCCUUAUAACACAUUGCCUCUAUAGCUUUAUAUCCAUUUCUAUGAUUUUUGUUACAUACCCAGUUCUGACCAUUUCCUGUCACAAUUUCCUUUGUCUACUAAGUAAAGUUCUAAAUGCAUGGUGACAUAACAUACAAGGCCCUACAUAACCUGGCACAAGAGACCUCUCCAGGUACUCUCCUCCUCUAACAGUGUAGGAAUACUCCUGACUCCUAGGAUGCCAGGCAUUUGUAUAACAUCCUAAUAGAGUUGUGCUGGUGAAGGAAGGCCACAUCCCUCUAUCUUGUGAGAGUGAAGACUUGAGUUUCUCCAUCACCAAGGAAGACUUGGGUGAAGGCACUCAAGUGGGAGGGACAAAAUGACAUCUGAAAACUGGAGGCCUUGGGCAGGGACCUCCCCUUCCUCAAACUAAAGGUGAAUGAACCAAAUUUUGCGAUUCCAGGUAGCUUUUCAUGUCAAAUUUUCAUGUCAAAUUCUUCCGUGCCAUCUCUGACCCUUUAGUAAAAUCCCCUCCAAAUAUUCCAGAAAAACCUUGUGAGUUCAUAUUUGGCAAGGCCAUCCAAAGCAUGUUAGCAACCCAGCAUGAUGGUGUCAGUACUAAUUACAUAAUGAGAGGCCCCAAAGAGAAGAGUAUUAGGCAACAGGAACGAGGGCCACUAAAUCCCAAUCGCUUUUCCCCAGCAAUGAUUCUCCUUCAAUAUGAGGUUAUGGGUUAUGAGGAUAUGAGUUAGUCAAUUAGCUUCCUUAUGCAACUUCAAAUUCCCUGAACAGAUCCAGGAAUUUUGCACAUUCUGUUCCUUGUCCAUAAACUUUGGUUCCCCUCCCCAAACUGUUGUUCUUUCGACAAACUCUAUACAUAAUUCAUAUUCCUGGCUCAGAAAUCAUAAUCUCUAAGUAACCUUUCCUGACACCCUAUUCUCCACCUCCUCUUCCAUAACCUGUGGUCUUUUUGAACAGAGUGGUGACAUUUUGGGCUGGAUGACUGAAAAAGCAAAGUAGAAAAACAGAACAUAGAACAUACAGGGCCUCCAGUUGCUGUGCCUGGCGGUACAUGAAACAUAGUAUUCAAUAACUAUUCUUUGAAUGCACAGUCAUUUUGUUUUUUCCUUUAACAGUAUUUCCUAAUAGGUAACUCAUGAACACUGCAAAAAAUGUCAAACUGCACAAAAAAAUUCAGGGAAAAGUACAUUUUCCCCCCAAUCCCAUUCCCUCCUUUCUCUUAAUACCAGUUAGCUUUCCUUUCAGAUUGAUUAUGCAUAUAUGGGUAUGUAAAUGUUUUCCCACUAUUUGUUACACAUAAAAAUUAUAUACAAUUCAUAUAUUACAUAUGGUGCAUGUUAUAUACACACACAUAAACAGAUCAUCUCGGUUUUGCUUAACCUAAGUCAGGCUUUUUUUUUUUUUUUUUUUUUAGAGCAGCCCUCAGAACCAGGACAGGUUCAGAGACUUUAUUUAUUUUUUAUUUACUAUUAUUAUUUUGAGACGGAGUCCCGCUCUGUCGCCCAGUCUGGAGUG